AUACGUAGGGUGCAAGCGUUAAUCGGAAUUACUGGGCGUAAAGCGUGCGCAGGCGGUUUUGUAAGACAGAGGUGAAAUCCCCGGGCUCAACCUGGGAACUGCCUUUGUGACUGCAAGGCUAGAGUACGGCAGAGGGGGAUGGAAUUCCGCGUGUAGCAGUGAAAUGCGUAGAUAUGCGGAGGAACACCGAUGGCGAAGGCAAUCCCCUGGGCCUGUACUGACGCUCAUGCACGAAAGCGUGGGGAGCAAACAGGAUUAGAUACCCUGGUAGUCCACGCCCUAAACGAUGUCAACUGGUUGUUGGGUCUUCAUUGACUCAGUAACGAAGCUAACGCGUGAAGUUGACCGCCUGGGGAGUACGGCCGCAAGGUUAAAACUCAAAGGAAUUGACGGGG
rnacentral:rRNA from 1 species